rnacentral:rRNA from 1 species
UACGGAGGGGGCUAGCGUUGUUCGGAAUUACUGGGCGUAAAGCGCGCGUAGGCGGCUUUGUAAGUUAGAGGUGAAAGCCCGGAGCUCAACUCCGGAACUGCCUUUAAGACUGCAUCGCUAGAAUUGUGGAGAGGUGAGUGGAAUUCCGAGUGUAGAGGUGAAAUUCGUAGAUAUUCGCAGGAACACCAGUGGCGAAGGCGACUCGCUGGAUCUUUGCUGACGCUGAGACGCGAAAGCGUGGGUAGCAAACAGG